GUUUUUUUCUGGCUUAUCUUGAUAACAAGGAAAAAAAGCCAAUAAUAUACUCUGUUCAGAAUCGUUUUUCGUUGGAAAUAUUUUUUUGUUGCGUACAAAAUUAAAUUAAAUUAAAUUACUCCAUUUUCCUGUCUUCCAACCACCCUUCUGUUACAGUGGUACACCCAUCAGUAGUAACAGCCUUCUUCAAUUUUAUUUCCUACUGAAUUUUUAUUGGUUUAUACAAAUCCUUAUAGAACGGGCCGAUCAAAACACAAUUGCGGAGCAUUUUACUUAUUCAUACACUUGCGUUACAUUUACGUAAACAAAUGGCACACACCAAUUUGUUUGUAUGUGUAUAAGUUUCAUAUUUCAAUGUAAGUGUUGCGAAAUGCAAAUGCGGGCAGGAUGAUGAAUGCAAUAGACAAUUUCGCACCGAAUUGAAAUCUUUGCGUAAAUAUUG